GGUUGUGCAAAUUACAACAACCAGAAGAUAAUUGAAAGUAACUCAACUGCUUUUAGUGGCUGCCAAAAAAAAUCCUAAGUUGCCAGUGCCUGACUAUGCUAUCAAGGAAAGAGUUCCACAGUUCUGUUCCUUGCAGACCCUGAAAAGAUGGAGAACAAGUGCAGAAGCUAAUAAUUCUUGGCAAUUGAAAUGAGCUUUCAGAACUUUUAGGUCUCCCAGAAGAGCAUUGUCUGCAGCACGGUCACGUUGCCACAUCAAUUCCAGUUGAUACAGCAUUUGUUGCAACUUUUACCUUCCUUUUUUUUUGUAAGACGUUUAAAGAAAAACAAAGCUGCAACGCUUUGUUGCCAGAUUGCUUCUAACAGGAAAGACAGAGGUCAAGCCAUAACGCAACUCUUCUCGCCCAGAAUGGAAAGAAACGGAUGGUUGUUUGAAGGCUGAAGAACAACAUCUAGGACAGAGUUUGGCUAUAUUCAAUCCAGAGUGCAACCAGAACUUUUCCAAAUUCCCUAAACAUUGCCAUGAGGUUUUUAUCACGUGGUCAGCUCCAAAAAUUCAACAGCAGUUUCCCUACCUAUAUGAAUCACCACAACAUCAUUCUUCCCCACUGGAAACCCAUGAGUGGAAGAUGACAGACAUUUGCCUUACAAGAAUACCUGCAUCUGGAACUGCUGGCCCAGAAAUCAUCUUGCUGGUGGACAAAAUGAAAUGCCUGCAGAUCUUACAAGCUUACUUGUAAAGGAUCCAGGCAAAGAAAGAAAGAAAGAAAGAAAGAAAGAAAGAAAGAAAGAAAGAAAGAAAGAAAGAAAGAAAGAAAGAAAGAAAACUUUAUGAAGAAGCUGGAAUGGUGACUCCUGAGAAGAAAGGAAGAAGUUCACCUGAAAAGCCACAAAAUGUCAGACAUAUUUCAACUCCACUUCUGAGAGCUCUUUUAUCACUGAGGCAUAUAUUUCAAAUAGACUUAGUUUUGCUUUGUCGAUAGCCUCCAAUCUGUUUCCAGUGCAGACUGGGCAGCAAAGUAUGCAUGCUAUAUAGCCAGUGACUUUGAUCCGAUGAUUACAUCAAAAACCUUCCAGAUCUCCAGUUUCUGGUCCUCUGGGAAACCCAGCCAACACUCUGCUUUCUUCUUGUUGGGUUGCUGCCUCUAGCACAGCCUUUCCAUUUCAAGAAAUCUUUUCUCCCUUAGUGCAAAUCUUCAUCCCCUCAGGCAAGAGAUCUGAAACAGCCAGUAAUUGUUUGUAAGACAUGCUGAUGAGGCUUUGAAGGAAUCACUGCUCUAUCUGCCAGAAAUCUGCAUUUCAUGAAAUCAACUCUAAUCCUCAAUAUUUUUUUUCCUCUGAGAAAGCUUGUUUUCUUAAUGAGUGGAAGAUACAUAAGGAUGGGGAUCAGUUAUAUGUUUUGAUCCCCUGCUCAAACUUAUUUUAUUUUUCAAGUGGCAGUGAUGAUUGACCAGGUAGUACCUGCCUUUCUAGCACUGACAGUAUUAGCAAUAAUACUAUGCUGUCAAUAAAUUCUAAUUCUUCCAGGAUUUUCUAGGUACA
rnacentral:lncRNA from 1 species